GAUGAAGAACGCAGUGAAAUGCGAUACGUAAUGUGAAUUGCAAAUUCAGUGAAUCAUCGAGUCUUUGAACGCACAUUGCGCCCCCUGGUAUUCCGGGGGGCAUGCCUGUCCGAGCGUCAUUGCUGCCCUCAAGCACGGCUUGUGUGUUGGGCCCCGUCCUCCGAUUCCGGGGGACGGGCCCGAAAGGCAGCGGCGGCACCGCGUCCGGUCCUCGAGCGUAUGGGGCUUUGUCACCCGCUCUGUGGGCCCGGCCGGCGCUUGCCGAUCAACCCAAAUUUUUAUCCAGGUUGACCUCGGAUCAGGUAGGGAUACCCGCUGAACUUAAGCAUAUCAAUAAGCGGAGGA
rnacentral:misc_RNA from 1 species